rnacentral:rRNA from 1 species
UACGUAGGGGGCUAGCGUUGUCCGGAAUCAUUGGGCGUAAAGCGCGUGUAGGCGGUUCGGUAAGUCCGCUGUGAAAGUCGGGGGCUCAACCCUCGAAUGCCGGUGGAUACUGUCGGACUAGAGUACGGAAGAGGCGAGUGGAAUUCCUGGUGUAGCGGUGAAAUGCGCAGAUAUCGGGAAGAACACCCGUGGCGAAGGCGGUUCUCUGGGACGGUACUGACGCUGAGACGCGGAAGCGUGGGGAGCGAACAGG